rnacentral:rRNA from 1 species
GACGAACGCUGGCGGCGUGCUUAACACAUGCAAGUCGAACGGUAAGGCUCCAGCUUGCUGGGGUACACGAGUGGCGAACGGGUGAGUAACACGUGGGUGACCUGCCCUGCACUUCGGGAUAAGCCUGGGAAACUGGGUCUAAUACCGGAUAGGACCAUGGUGUGGAUACUGUGGUGGAAAGUUUUUUCGGUGAGGGAUGGGCCCGCGGCCUAUCAGCUUGUUGGUGGGGUAAUGGCCUACCAAGGCGGCGACGGGUAGCCGGCCUGAGAGGGUGGACGGCCACAUUGGGACUGAGACACGGCCCAGACUCCUACGGGAGGCAGCAGUGGGGAAUAUUGCACAAUGGGCGGAAGCCUGAUGCAGCGACGCCGCGUGGGGGAUGACGGCCUUCGGGUUGUAAACUCCUUUCACCAUCGACGAAGGGUUUCUGACGGUAGAUGGAGAAGAAGCACCGGCUAACUACGUG